UACGUAGGGGGCAAGCGUUGUUCGGAAUUACUGGGCGUAAAGGGCGCGUAGGCGGCACAGCAAGUCGGGCGUGAAAGCCCGGGGCUCAACCCCGGAACGGCUUUCGAAACUGCUGAGCUAGAGUACAGAAGGGGCAACCGGAAUUCCCAGUGUAGCGGUGAAAUGCGUAGAUAUUGGGAAGAACACCUGAGGCGAAGGCGGGUUGCUGGGCUGAUACUGACGCUGAGGCGCGAAAGCCAGGGGAGCAAACGGG
rnacentral:rRNA from 1 species